rnacentral:piRNA from 1 species
UCCUCCAUCAUUCCUCUAAUCAUUCAAGGU